rnacentral:rRNA from 1 species
UACGUAGGAUGCUAGCGUUGUCCGGAUUUACUGGGCGUAAAGCGCGCGCAGGCGGCACUGUAAGUAAGGUGUGAAAUCUCCCUGCUCAACGGGGAGGGUGCACUUUAGACUGCAGAGCUAGAGGACGGUAGAGGGGGGGUGGAAUUGCUGGUGUAGCGGGUGAAAUGCGUAGAGAUCAGCAGGAAUACCCGUGGCGAAGGCGGCCCCCUGGGCCCGUACCUGACGCCUGAGGCGCGAAGGCUAGGGGAGCGAACGGGG